rnacentral:RNase_MRP_RNA from 1 species
ACGUCAUUGAAGAGGUGAAUGGGUCAUCACGGCUUGUCGAAGUUCCGACCCAGGAAAGUCCCCGGGCCACUUGUGCGCAGAGAUGCGUUCUUGGUAACGAGAGAAUCAUGCGGUGGAGAGAUUUAAAGCUGAGACACGUGUGUGGAGCUUUCUCUACCGGAUGAUAUCAUGGCCGUUCGUAUUACGACAGUUAUUCACCUGGUCCUUUGUCCGGACUAACUGAACGGGGCUUACGUUUCGAUGACA